GGAUGGGUGGCCGAGUGGUUUAAGGCUCUGGUCUUGAAAACCAGCGUACGUGAGAGCGUACCGUGGGUUCGAAUCCCACCCCAUCCG
rnacentral:tRNA from 1 species